GACGAACGCUGGCGGCGUGCCUAAUACAUGCAAGUAGAACGCUGAAGGAGGAGCUUGCUUCUCCGGAUGAGUUGCGAACGGGUGAGUAACGCGUAGGUAACCUGCCUGGUAGCGGGGGAUAACUAUUGGAAACGAUAGCUAAUACCGCAUAAGAGUAGAUGUCGCAUGACAUUUGCUUAAAAGGUGCAACUGCACCACUACCAGAUGGACCUGCGUUGUAUUAGCUAGUUGGUGAGGUAACGGCUCACCAAGGCAACGAUACAUAGCCGACCUGAGAGGGUGGUCGGCCACACUGGGACUGAGACACGGCCCAGACUCCUACGGGAGGCAGCAGUAGGGAAUCUUCGGCAAUGGACGGAAGUCUGACCGAACAACGCCGCGUGAGUGAAGAAGGUGUUCGGAUCGUAAAGCUCUGUUGUAAGAGAAGAACGAGUGUGAGAGUGGAAAGUUCACACUGUGACGGUAUCUUACCAGAAAGGGACGGCUAACUACGUG
rnacentral:rRNA from 1 species